rnacentral:rRNA from 1 species
UACGGAGGGAGCUAGCGUUGUUCGGAAUUACUGGGCGUAAAGCGCACGUAGGCGGCUUUGUAAGUUAGAGGUGAAAGCCCGGGGCUCAACCCCGGAAUUGCCUUUAAGACUGCAUCGCUUGAAUCCAGGAGAGGUGAGUGGAAUUCCGAGUGUAGAGGUGAAAUUCGUAGAUAUUCGGAAGAACACCGGUGGCGAAGGCGGUUCUCUGGGCCGAUACUGACGCUGAGGAGCGAAAGCGUGGGGAGCGAACAGG